rnacentral:ncRNA from 1 species
UAUGUUUUAGAUAAUUUAUUAUAAAUUUAUUUUACAUGUAAAUUAUAGUAUUAAAUUUUAAUUAUUUUAAUAAUAAUUAAUUAGUGUUAUAUAGUAAUUAAAAUUAAAAAUUUAAGAAAUUAAGAUUUAGUAAUAUUUAAAUUAAUAACUAAUUUUGUGCCAGCAGUUGCGGUUAAACAAAAGUUAAAUUAAAUUAUUUCAGUAUUUAAUUAAUAAUAUUAAAUUAAAAAAAAUAUUAAAUUAUUGAGUGAAAUUUUAAUUUAAUUAAAUUUUAUAAAAUAUUUAUGAUUUAAUAAAUUUAAAAAUAAACUAGGAUUAGAUACCCUAUUAUUAUAAAUUUAAUUAUUUAUACUAAAAUAGUAAAUAAUAUAUUAUUGAAACUUAAAUAAUAUGGCGGUAUUUUAGUUCAUUUAGAGGAAUCUGUCUAAUAAUUGAUAAUCCACGAAUAAAUUUACUUAAUUUAUAAUUUUGUAUAUCAUUGUUAAAAAAAUAUUUUAUAAUAAUAAUAAUAUUUUAAAAUUUAAAUUAAAAAUUAAUUCAGAUCAUGAUGCAGAUUAUAAUUAAGAUUAAGAUGGAUUACAAUAAAAUUAUUUAAAUGAAAAUAAUCUUGUAAAAUUUAAUUAAAAGUGGAUUUAAAUGUAAUUUUAAUUAAUUUAUUAAAAUGAUUUAAAAUUGAAAUAUGUACAUAUUGCCCGUCACUUUCAUUUAAAAAUUGAAAUAAGUCGUAACAAAGUAGAGGUACUGGAAAGUGUUUCUAGAAUGAA